UGUUUGUAGGGCACGGAAUUUUCCAAUCCCCUCCUGAGAAGCCAAGGCUCCCUUUUAUAGGUGGGGGUCGGUUUACCUGCGAUGUAACAGGGCGAGGCCAUAGUACGGCUCGGCAUGUGGCUCAGGUCGGCGCACGGUCAGGCGAAUCAUUGUGCUGAUGUCGGCGGUGAGGGCGUCGUACGACCCGAACCAGUACGCUACCAGGCGAAUCAUUGCAUUGGUGUCGGAGGUAUGGCCGAGAUCAGAGACUUAUCAUGGUUGACCAGACUCUGCUGGGCUAACUUGCCGUGGAGAGCUGAGAGUCCGUAGAUGACAGGAGCCAUACGCAUUAAUUGUGGAGUAAGCCGGAGAUCCGCAUUAAUUGCAGAGUAGGCCGGAGAUCCGCAUUAAUUGUGGAGUAAGCCGGAGAUCCGCAUUGAUUGUUGAGUGAACUGGAGGUUUACAGUAGCCAUGCGCAAUAAAUGCUGA
rnacentral:lncRNA from 1 species